CGGCCCCUAAGGCGAGGCCGAAAGGCGUAGUCGAUGGGAAACGGAUUAAUAUUUCCGUACUUGUAUAAUCAGUGAUGGAGGGACGGAGAAGGCUAGGCAAGCUUGGCGUUGGUAGUCCAAGUGAAAGUGUGUAGGCUGGAAUUUUAGGUAAAUCCGGAAUUCUAAGGCCGAGACACGAGACGAGCUCCCAAGGGAGUGAAGUUGUUGAUGCCCUGCUUCCAGGAAAAGCUUCUAAACUUAUGAUUAUAUGAACCGUACCCCAAACCGACACAGGUGGUCAGGUAGAGAAUACUAAGGCGCUUGAGAGAACUCGGGUGAAGGAACUAGGCAAAAUCGUACCGUAACUUCGGGAGA
rnacentral:rRNA from 11 species